AGUGAACGCUGGCGGUAGGCCUAACACAUGCAAGUCGAACGGCAGCACAGUAAGAGCUUGCUCUUACGGGUGGCGAGUGGCGGACGGGUGAGGAAUACAUCGGAAUCUACUUUUUCGUGGGGGAUAACGUAGGGAAACUUACGCUAAUACCGCAUACGACCUACGGGUGAAAGCAGGGGAUCUUCGGACCUUGCGCGAUUGAAUGAGCCGAUGUCGGAUUAGCUAGUUGGCGGGGUAAAGGCCCACCAAGGCGACGAUCCGUAGCUGGUCUGAGAGGAUGAUCAGCCACACUGGAACUGAGACACGGUCCAGACUCCUACGGGAGGCAGCAGAGGAGAAUAUUGGACAAUGGGCGCAAACCUGAUGCAGCCAUACCGCGUGGGUGAAGAAGGCUGUCGGGUUGUAAAGCCCUUUUGUUGGGGAAGAAAAGCAGCAGGUUAAUACGCCGCUGUUCUGACGGUACCCAAAGAAUAAGCACCGGCUAACUUCGUG
rnacentral:rRNA from 1 species